AGAGUUUGAUCCUGGCUCAGGAUGAACGCUGGCGGCGUGCCUAACACAUGCAAGUCGAGCGAAGCACUUUGCUUAGAUUCUUCGGAUGAAGAGGAUUGUGACUGAGCGGCGGACGGGUGAGUAACGCGUGGGUAACCUGCCUCAUACAGGGGGAUAACAGUUAGAAAUGACUGCUAAUACCGCAUAAGACCACAGCACCGCAUGGUGCGGGGGUAAAAACUCCGGUGGUAUGAGAUGGACCCGCGUCUGAUUAGCUGGUUGGUAAGGUAACGGCUUACCAAGGCGACGAUCAGUAGCCGACCUGAGAGGGUGACCGGCCACAUUGGGACUGAGACACGGCCCAAACUCCUACGGGAGGCAGCAGUGGGGAAUAUUGCACAAUGGGGGAAACCCUGAUGCAGCGACGCCGCGUGAGCGAAGAAGUAUUUCGGUAUGUAAAGCUCUAUCAGCAGGGAAGAAAAUGACGGUACCUGACUAAGAAGCACCGGCUAAAUACGUGCCAGCAGCCGCGGU
rnacentral:rRNA from 1 species